rnacentral:rRNA from 1 species
ACUCCUGCGGGAGGCAGCAGUGGGGAAUUUUGGACAAUGGGCGAAAGCCUGAUCCAGCCAUGCCGCGUGCAGGAUGAAGGCCUUCGGGUUGUAAACUGCUUUUGUACGGAACGAAACGGCCUUUUCUAAUAAAGAGGGCUAAUGACGGUACCGUAAGAAUAAGCACCGGCUAACUACGUGCCAGCAGCCGCGGUAAUACGUAGGGUGCAAGCGUUAAUCGGAAUUACUGGGCGUAAAGCGUGCGCAGGCGGUUAUGUAAGACAGUUGUGAAAUCCCCGGGCUCAACCUGGGAACUGCAUCUGUGACUGCAUAGCUAGAGUACGGUAGAGGGGGAUGGAAUUCCGCGUGUAGCAGUGAAAUGCGUAGAUAUGCGGAGGAACACCGAUGGCGAAGGCAAUCCCCUGGACCUGUACUGACGCUCAUGCACGAAAGCGUGGGGAGCAAACAGGAUUAGAAACCCCUGUAGUCCCAUGAU